GAUGAACGCUGGCGGCGUGCCUAAUACAUGCAAGUCGAGCGAACAGACGAGGAGCUUGCUCCUCUGACGUUAGCGGCGGACGGGUGAGUAACACGUGGAUAACCUACCUAUAAGACUGGGAUAACUUCGGGAAACCGGAGCUAAUACCGGAUAACAUGUUGAACCGCAUGGUUCAACAGUGAAAGACGGUUUUGCUGUCACUUAUAGAUGGAUCCGCGUCGCAUUAGCUAGUUGGUAAGGUAACGGCUUACCAAGGCAACGAUGCGUAGCCGACCUGAGAGGGGGAUCGGCCACACUGGAACUGAGACACGGUCCAGACUCCUACGGGAGGCAGCAGUAGGGAAUCUUCCGCAAUGGGCGAAAGCCUGACGGAGCAACGCCGCGUGAGUGAAGAAGGUCUUCGGAUCGUAAAACUCUGUUAUUAGGGAAGAACAAAUGUGUAAGUAACUAUGCACGUCUUGACGGUACCUAAUCAGAAAGCCACGGCUAACUACGU
rnacentral:rRNA from 1 species